UCUCGGCGGGAAAGUGAAGCGUCGAAUGUUUUAUUUUAUUUUCUAAAAUUCGUGUUUUGCGACUAUUAAAUCGUAAGUGUGGAUUUAAUGAUCCAUUAUUGACCAUAAUAUGACUGUGUUCGUGAACGUGCAUGAGUGUACACUGUGCAACAUCAGUUUUUAAGUUCCCUCAAGAAGUUCCGCCUCCGGUUUUAGUAAAGUGACACUUUAUUGCUGAAACUCAAAGGGUAUGUAAUUAGAGCGCACGCACUCCAACUCAAUUAGUCUUUGCCCAGCGCUUGCUGCAACGUGACCAUGUUUCAGUGAAGUUUUGCUGUCUGAAAAUAUGCCUGGAUGUGUAAUGCGAUACUGUUCAAACAACACCAGAAACACAAGUAAAAGUCAAGGAGUGACUUUUCACAAGUUUCCAGGGCCGUGUCAUGAAACAAGAGAAUUAUGGAUCAAAUUUGUUCAGAAGAAUCGCAGCGAAGAAACGUGGUUACCUACAGAUCAUUCACGAAUAUGUUCCGUGCAUUUCCGAGAAAACGACAAAUACAAUACCAUAAAGUCGGGAAGAGUAUACUUAAAGAAAUCUGCAGUGCCAUGCGAUAACCCAUCAACAUAUUGUGCUGAACAGGAAGUAACAGAAUCGUUAUCUGAAUCAGUAAGCAGUUCAGAUUCAAUUUUUGAUAGUCCAAGAACAAUUAUAGUUAAAAAUAAAUUACGCAAGCAAUCUGCAGCUUUAAAGAAACUCACUAUAAAAUUUAAGAAAGUACGAAACCAAAAUAUUUAUUUAAAGAAAAAAAUUGAGUCUUAUAAAACAAUUGUAAAAAAAUUGAAAGAGAAAUACGGCCUCAAUUUAAAUGCCGAAUUUAACGGAUAAAACAGAAAUAAAUCUUAUAGAAAAAUAAUAAACAUAAAAGACGUUAUUAUUUCUUAAACACUGCACCUUUACGGAAUUCGCAUUGACAUAAGAGAAUGCUAUAGCAAAGCUUUUCUACAUCCUAAGAGACAAUUUGCAGAUGGUAUUCAACGGUUAAUGCAGAACCCGUUUUCAUAACAGAAGCAUUAAUUUGCAGCCUUGAAGAAGAAAUCCCAAUCCAACGCAAAUUCAAAUAAACCUAUAAUCUGCUCA